AUGGAGUAUGUACUGGCAGGAAGGGUGAAAGCCAGCAGAGGGAGGGUGCCCAGCAAAGCCAUGGAGUCUUGAAACAGCCCAUCCUGAACCACCAGGGUCGCUCUGGCUGAUAUGUGGAACCUGGAUUGCAUCUGCAGCCCUUGCAUACUCUCAGUGAAGCCAGAAACCAGCAGGUCACUCUCGUGGGUCAGCUCACUGCCUCCUUUGAGAGAGAUUUUCUCUGGCUUGAUUCCUGAGGUUCUGAGCUGCCCACUGAACUCUCC